rnacentral:rRNA from 1 species
NNNNNNNNNNGGAUUCCCCUAGUAACGGCGAGUGAAGCGGGAAAAGCUCAAAUUUAAAAUCUGGCGGUBGCACCGUCCGAGUUGUAUUCUAGAGAAGCAUCAUCUACGCUGGACCAUGUACAAGUCUCUUGGAACAGAGCGUCAUAAAGGGUGAGAAUCCCGUCCUUGACAUGGACUCCCAGUGUUCUGUGUUGUGCUCUCAACGAGUCGAGUUGUUUGGGAAUGCAGCUCAAAAUGGGUGGUAAAUUCCAUCUAAAGCUAAAUAAUGGCGAGAGACCGAUAGCGAACAAGUACCGUGAGGGAAAGAUGAAAAGCACUUUGGARAGAGAGUUAAACAGUACGUGAAAUUGUUGAAAUGGAAACGCUUGAAGUCAGUCGCGUUCUCUGGGAUUCAGCCUUGCCUACGGGCCAGCAUGGAUUUCGACCGUUGGAAAAGGGCUGGGGGAAUGUGGCACUUUCGGGUGUGUUAUAGCCCCCUGUCGGAUGCAUCGGUUGGGAUCGAGGACCUCAGUGCACGCUUCGGUUGUGCUUUGAUGCUGGCGUAAUGGCUUUAAACGACCCGUCUUGAAACACGGACCAAGGAGUCUAACAUGUCUGCGAGUGUUUGGGUGAAAAACUCGGACGCGCAAUGAAAGUGAUAGUUGGGAACCUUUUCACGAGGGGGCACCGACGCCCGGACCAGACCUUCUGUGACGGAUCCGAGGUAGAGCAUAUAUGUUGGGACCCGAAAGAUGGUGAACUAUGCCUGCAUAGGGUGAAGCCAGAGGAAACUCUGGUGGAGGCUCGUAGCGAUUCUGACGUGCAAAUCGAUCGUCAAAUGUGGGUAUAGGGGCGAAAGACUAAUCGAACCAUNNNNNNNNNNNNNNNNNNN